CUAUCCUACUUUCCAGAAUAAUAGAUAAAGAUAUAGAAAAGUAAAACUUACUUUCAAGUCAGAAUAGCAUGGGGCGUGUCGUGAGUCGGUGCUUGAAAGUUUUCUGACCAAUCAAAUUUGAGAGGAGUAUUUACUCCGCAGUUUACAAAACAAGGCAACCAUAUUGGAUUUUCUAAUAUAAAAUAUUUCGCUGACAAAAUGCCUUGGGGAUUCCAAACUUGCGGGCCUAAUGAGGCCAUGGUGGUGUCAGGGUGUUGCGAAAGUGAUAGCAAGCCACAGCUUAUUCCUGGUGGUCGUGUUUUUGUAUGGCCAUAUGUGCAACAGAUUCAAAAGAUCUCGCUGAACACAAUGACAUUGACCAUUGAGAGCCCCCAGGUCUACACACAGAUGGGUGUGGCUAUUUCUGUCACAGGUAUUGCACAGGUGAAAGUUCAAGGUCAGAACAAAGAAAUGUUGGAACAUGCAUGUCAGCAGUUCUUGGGCAAAUCCGAGCAGGAGAUUCGUAAAAUUGCCCAUGAGACACUUGAGGGACACCAGCGUGCAAUCAUGGGAAACAUGACUGUUGAGGAAAUUUACAAAGACCGUAAGAAGUUCUCCAAGGCUGUGUUUGAAGUUGCAUCAUCAGAUCUGAUUAACAUGGGAAUCAGCGUGGUGAGCUACACCAUCAAGGACAUCAGAGAUGAAGAGGGCUACCUGAAGGCUUUGGGUAUGGGAAGAACUGCCCAGGUGAAGCGAGAUGCCAGGAUUGGUGAGGCUGAGGCUAGACGAGAUGCUGGUAUUAAGGAAGCUAUUGCUGAGGAACAGCGUAUGGCAGCCAGGUAUGCUAAUGAUAUUGACAUUGCCAAGGCCCAGAGGGACUUUGAGCUGAAGAAGGCCCAUUAUGACAUGGAGGUGCAAACUAAAAAGGCAGAGUCGGACCUGGCUUAUUCUCUGCAGGCAGCUAAAACGAAACAGAAGAUUAAGGAGGAACACAUGCAAAUCAAGGUUAUUGAGAGGUCGCAGCAAAUUCAGGUUCAGGAACAAGAAAUCGUAAGACGUGAGAGAGAAUUGAAUGCCCAGGUGAAGAAACCUGCUGAAGCUGAGAAAUACAAACUUGAGAAACUUGCAGAGGCAAACAGAAACCGCAUUGUGUUAGAAGCCCAGGCCACUGCUGAAUCCACUCAAGUGAAAGGAGAAGCUGAGGCAUUUGCCAUUGAGGCCAAGGCUAAGGCUGAGGCAGAACAGAUGGCCAAGAAAGCAGAUGCUUGGAAGGAGUACCAAGAUGCUGCUAUGGUUGAUAUGAUCCUGGAAACACUACCCAAGGUUGCUGCAGAGAUUGCCGCCCCUCUGUCUCAGGCCAAGAAGAUCACCAUGGUAUCAUCAGGAAAGGGAGAUGUAGGAGCGGCUAAACUCACUGGUGAAGUAAUGGAAGUCAUGGGUCGUUUGCCUGAAGUUGUCGAAGGAAUGACUGGUGUCAACAUUUCAAAGUCAAUGAAGAUGGCCCAGAGGCGUGUAUAGUUUUGUCUUCAUGGGGACUACAAGAACCAGGACCAUUUACACAUGAUAUACAAUACAGGGGCCGCUUUCUACAAAGAACAAUCUUUCAAUUACAAAUAUUGCAAUGUAUUAUCAUCCGAGCAGCUGAACAAAUUCUAGGAUUUUCAUGAGACAAUGCCAAAGCAAAUGAAAUGUAUUACCUAAAAUUUUAAAGUAAUCAAAAAACAGUUGAUUAAAUGGGAAUAUGCAAUAUUGUAAGUUUGUUGAAAAAUUUCAUAGUGGAAACUCAGUAAAUCCAGAGACCUUGAUAUUUCGACAGGAUUCAGUUGAUAUGGUUCAGUGUUUGUAAUAUUUGACAAUGGAGAAUGUGCCUUUGACUACAUUCUGACCUAACUGUAUAAUGUGGAUUAUGAAUGUUGUAUUGUUACGACAAACAUGAUUUUAUACUAUUUUACCUAACUUAUAUGUAAACCUGUGUUGUGAGAUAAGAUGCAGGGUGAUACAUAAUCAAAGAAAUAUUUACUCUUCAUAAUAUAAAUAUAGUGAGAUACUUGUUGUAUUCUUAUAAAUCCCUGUAUAUUCUGGAAUUCAAUGUUUCACAUUUGUCUUUCAUUUAACCCAUUAAAUCCAAUAUUAAAAAGACACUGUUUUUGUAUACAGUAGUUCCUUUCAUUGCAUGUAAAUAUACUCAUAUUAUGUGUUUGUUCAAUAUUAACCAGUAAAGAUACAUUGAUGUCAAACCAGUCGAAUAUUUUCUAUAUAAUCCUGUAUGUAUGAUAUCAUUAGUAUAUGAUAUAGUAAACAGUAAGUGGCGUAAACAUUUCCUUCGGGAAUUGUAAUUUUAGUCAACCCAGUCUAGAUUGUGAGUCAUUACUUUCUCAGGUUAGCAAGAAGAAUUGAUAUUAAGCACUGGAAAAGAGGUUAAUGUCGUAUGGGAUUAGAAUGUGAGAUUGAAUAUGGAAUUUUGGCUAAUAUGGAGUUAUUUGAAAAGUCAUAUUCAUUGAAUAAUUAUAUUUUAUGAAAUAGUGCAGACAUCAUUUGUAUUUAAAGUCUUAAUAAACCAACUACACAUAUAAG
rnacentral:misc_RNA from 1 species